rnacentral:tRNA from 1 species
GCUAUUAAAGGAUAACAGUCAUCCGUUGGUCUUAGGAACCAAAAACUCUUGGUGCAAAUCCAAGUAACAGCU